AACGAACGCUGGCGGCAGGCCUAACACAUGCAAGUCGAGCGAAGCCUUCGGGCUUAGCGGCGGACGGGUGAGUAACGCGUGGGAACGUGCCCUUUGGUACGGAAUAGCCCCGGGAAACUGGGAGUAAUACCGUAUGUGCCCUGCGGGGGAAAGAUUUAUCGCCAAAGGAUCGGCCCGCGUUGGAUUAGGUAGUUGGUGGGGUAAUGGCCUACCAAGCCGACGAUCCAUAGCUGGUUUGAGAGGAUGAUCGGCCACACUGGGACUGAGACACGGCCCAGACUCCUACGGGAGGCAGCAGUGGGGAAUCUUAGACAAUGGGGGAAACCCUGAUCUAGCCAUGCCGCGUGAUCGAUGAAGGCCUUAGGGUUGUAAAGAUCUUUCAGUGGGGAAGAUAAUGACUGUACCCACAGAAGAGGCCCCGGCUAACUCCGUGCCAGCCGCCGCCGUAAAAC
rnacentral:rRNA from 1 species